AUCUCUUCUCGGCCUGUGGCUAAGAUCAAGUGUAGUAUCUGUUCUUAUCAGUUUAACGUUAGGUAUAUCCUCUGUCUGAGGACAAUGUAUUAAAUGGAUUUUUUGGAGCCUGGAGCUGGAAUAGGAGCUUGCUCCGUCCACUCUGUGUAUCAACUUGCUAGUGCAGUACCUCCAGGAACAGUGCACCGCCC